rnacentral:rRNA from 1 species
AGAGUUUGAUCCUGGCUCAGGACGAACGCUGGCGGCGUGCCUAAUACAUGCAAGUCGAACGAACUCUGGUAUUGAUUGGUGCUUGCAUCAUGAUUUACAUUUGAGUGAGUGGCGAACUGGUGAGUAACACGUGGGAAACCUGCCCAGAAGCGGGGGAUAACACCUGGAAACAGAUGCUAAUACCGCAUAACAACUUGGACCGCAUGGUCCGAGUUUGAAAGAUGGCUUCGGCUAUCACUUUUGGAUGGUCCCGCGGCGUAUUAGCUAGAUGGUGGGGUAACGGCUCACCAUGGCAAUGAUACGUAGCCGACCUGAGAGGGUAAUCGGCCACAUUGGGACUGAGACACGGCCCAAACUCCUACGGGAGGCAGCAGUAGGGAAUCUUCCACAAUGGACGAAAGUCUGAUGGAGCAACGCCGCGUGAGUGAAGAAGGGUUUCGGCUCGUAAAACUCUGUUGUUAAAGAAGAACAUAUCUGAGAGUAACUGUUCAGGUAUUGACGGUAUUUAACCAGAAAGCCACGGCUAACUAUGUGCCAGCAGCCGCGGUAAUACGUAGGUGGCAAGCGUUGUCCGGAUUUAUUGGGCGUAAAGCGAGCGCAGGCGGUUUUUUAAGUCUGAUGUGAAAGCCUUCGGCUCAACCGAAGAAGUGCAUCGGAAACUGGGAAACUUGAGUGCAGAAGAGGACAGUGGAACUCCAUGUGUAGCGGUGAAAUGCGUAGAUAUAUGGAAGAACACCAGUGGCGAAGGCGGCUGUCUGGUCUGUAACUGACGCUGAGGCUCGAAAGUAUGGGUAGCAAACAGGAUUAGAUACCCUGGUAGUCCAUACCGUAAACGAUGAAUGCUAAGUGUUGGAGGGUUUCCGCCCUUCAGUGCUGCAGCUAACGCAUUAAGCAUUCCGCCUGGGGAGUACGGCCGCAAGGCUGAAACUCAAAGGGAAUUGACGGGGGCCCGCACAAGCGGUGGAGCAUGUGGUUUAAUUCGAAGCUACGCGAAGGACCUUACCAGGUCUUGACAUACUAUGCAAAUCUAAGAGAUUAGACGUUCCCUUCGGGGACAUGGAUACAGGUGGUGCAUGGUUGUCGUCAGCUCGUGUCGUGAGAUGUUGGGUUAAGUCCCGCAACGAGCGCAACCCUUAUUAUCAGUUGCCAGCAUUAAGUUGGGCACUCUGGUGAGACUGCCGGUGACAAACCGGAGGAAGGUGGGGAUGACGUCAAAUCAUCAUGCCCCUUAUGACCUGGGCUACACACGUGCUACAAUGGAUGGUACAACGAGUUGCGAACUCGCGAGAGUAAGCUAAUCUCUUAAAGCCAUUCUCAGUUCGGAUUGUAGGCUGCAACUCGCCUACAUGAAGUCGGAAUCGCUAGUAAUCGCGGAUCAGCAUGCCGCGGUGAAUACGUUCCCGGGCCUUGUACACACCGCCCGUCACACCAUGAGAGUUUGUAACACCCAAAGUCGGUGGGGUAACCUUUUAGGAACCAGCCGCCUAAGGUGGGACAGAUGAUUAGGGUGAAGUCGUAACAAGGUAACC